CGGUGGGUACAUUUGACAAUUAUUUUUUUAAUUUAAGUUAUAUAUUGGUUGUUUAUAUAUUAAUGAUAUUUCAAUGCAGGUGAGUGUAUUCCAUUGGAAUCGAUAGAUGUAUUCUGGAGAAAGCUUAAAAUUUCACCAUCAAUUCCUAUGGAAAAUGAAGAUAUAUGUGGUGAUGGUAAAUUUGAAAUGUUUAAAGAAACCUACAAUAAGCAACCGGAAGCUGUGAAAAAAAGCAUGAUGAGAAAGCUACUAGAUAUAUUCCAGCCUAGUAAAACACACAUUAGAGAACCCGCAAUUCAAAAAAAUACACGUGGACGACCAAGUUUGAAGAAACAAAAACAAAAACAAACUGAUUCUAUCAAUCAAGCUCCUAGAAGACGCAACUUUUCAACCAUGCCAAAAUUUGUUGAGUUGAACAAUAGGGAUCCGGCAAGACAUAGUUCAUACAUAACCACAAUUCCAGACUUGAAUGAAAUUCCAGACUUGAAAGAAGAGCCAGACUUGAAUGAAAUUCCAGACUUGAAGGAAGAGCCAGACUUGAAUGAAAUUCCAGACUUGAAGGAAGAGCCUCAAUCAUGCUACAAUCAUCGACUAAUAGAUGAAAUCCAAGUGAUGUUUCAUCCUUACAUCACACAUAUACAAGAUGUAGAGGGGGAUGGAAACUGUGGAUUUCGAGCAAUAUCUGUUUGUCUUGGGUAUGGCGAGAAUGACUGGCUCUAUGUUCGACGUCAACUACUAGACGAGUUAUUGAGUUCGUACGAUGCAUAUGCUAGAGUUUUCACUGAUGGAAUCGGUGAACUAUAUACUUCGUUGAAUUUCUUAGAAUCACCGGCACCUAAAAGAUACUGGUUACUUAUGCCUGAAACAGGUAUCCUCAUUGCCAACAGAUUUGGUGUAGUCCUUACUUUUUUAACCAACCAAGGCUCUCUCACUUUCUUUCCUCUUUGGAAAGGUCCGGAAGAAUUUUUGUACCAUCGCGUUAUUACGAUUUCACUUGUAUAUGGUAAUCAUUAUGUGAUGGUACAAUUAGAAGGAGAUUGUCCGCUGCCUACCAUUUCAGCUUUCUGGAUCCGCCACAAAGCCCCAUGUGCAGCUGGAUGGGAAACUAUGUUCAUGUCACGUCUAGAACUUUAUAGACAACUGAAACCUUACAAUCCUGAAACACCUUUUAUAACUAUAGAGGAUUGUUAGAGGGUAUUAAUUUUCUCUCGAAUUAUGCAUUUAUGUAUUCAUGAAGGAUUGCUAAUGCUAUUGUUUUUUGCAUCAUAUUUUUGUUUUUAUGUAUUAAUUUAUAUUUAAUUAUUAAAUAAUAUACAAAUAUAUAUAUAUAUAUAUAUGUUAUUAAUCUAUAUUAAUUAAAAAUAAAUAAUUAAUCAUUUAUAUUUAAUUUAUAUAUAUAUAUGUUUUAAUUACUCCAAAAAAAAUAUUAAUAUUCAAGCAUAAAAUGAAAAAGAAAAGAAAAAUAAAAAGUAAAUAAAAUAAAAAUAAAAAGAAGGCAUGUAAAUUAAAGAAAAACAAAAAGUUAGGUAUAUAAACUUCAAUAUAAAAAGACAUUGUUGAUUUUUUUUUUUAUUAGGGUGUUUUUUUAGUAUAGGUUGUGUUUUUAGUAAAUGGGGGUGUUUAUUUAGCCUAUAGUCAUGUGGUAAAUAUACAACAAACACAAUUUUAUGUCAUUUAAAGUCACCAAUCACAAAUCACAAUUCAAUUCAGAGUAUUAAAUGAUCACAAAAAGAAUAAUUAAUUAGAAAUCAGAAAUGAAGCCAAAGUUUAAUUCAUUAACCUUCAGUUUUUUUGAGUUGUUUAAACCAAGAUAAUAUUGAUCUUAUAGUCUCGUAUCACCUGGUUUCCUUUUUGUGUACCUGGAGAAAUCAAGAACAAAACUGUUAAGCAUCCAUUUAAAAAUGGACUUAAACGUUAUCUCAUAAUCAACUACUCGGAUGGAAGACAUAAUAUUUAAUUAUUGCUGCAAUAAACAAUGAAAACUUCACAUCGUAAUCAGAAAAAUUACCAACUACAUAAUUGGUGCAAAAAGAAAGACAGGUUGAUUUCUACCAAGUCUCUUCUACAAGUCCAACCAUUUUCCAACAAAACAUGAAGUUUGGGUUUAAUUAAACAUAAAAAUCGGCACUUUAAGAUAGGUAGGUGCAACAAUGUUGUUUUACGAACAUCACAAUGCAGUAAAGCAGUGAAUGAAAGAACAUGGAUAAGAACAGAUGCUAAUUCAUUUCGAAAAACCUAUAGGCAACAAAACUAAUUUCAAAAAGAAAUGAGGUGAUUUCUACUAAUUCACGUCCACAACUCCAACAAUCUUCCAGGAACACAAAGACGAAUCCAAUUGAACUUAACAAGAAGCGAUAACAAAACCAGUAAAUAUGAACGACAACGAUAGAAAUCAAUAGAUAUUGCAAUUGAAAAACUAACAGAUGACACAUUUAGUAUUGACAAACUAAUUCCCACAAGAAACAAAAGCAAUUUCUAUGCUAUCAUUCAACAACUCCAUAGUCUUCCAUUAUAACACACACAAUCCAGCCAAAUCAAACCUAAAAACAGGCGUUUAAGAUAUGCAGGUGCGACAAUGAUGAUGAUCGAAUAAAGCACAUAAGAAUCGGUGGUGGAUCCUUUUCAGAAGAUCUUAGAUAGCACAAUUAGCAUACGAAAAUAACGUAAUUGCUACUAAAUCACCUUAAUAACAGGUCAAACUCAAAUUUUAGUAUAAUUAAAACUGAAACCUAUUAAGAAGUAGCAUCAGAAUCCGGAGAAACAGUGCACAGAUGAUGAAGAACGGGAAUCAAUACUUAAACAGAGAAUCACUGGUUGGGUGGAAAGAGAAAACUGCAAAGAAAUUUAAGCAACAUUUUUAUCGAUUAAUCCAAAAGUAGAAAUACUUGUUAUGCAUGAAUCGACCGAAGCAUACUGAAAUCACAAAUGCAAUUACUUGAAAGAUCAGACAAGAAUAUCAUUGAUUGUAGUUGACUUGCUUUAAAUUAAUGAUAGAAUUUUCAGACGACUCGACCAUUGAUGGAGGAAAAUUCGUCGAUACCUUUUCAGAUUUCCCAAUAUAUGGAUUAUUGCUCGAUUGCGUGAGGGAGAAAAUAAAUAUCGUUCGGAUCUAUGAACGACAGGGAGCCAUUGCUUUGUUCAGAUCUUCAAUUAAAAGAGGAAAGCAAGAUGAGAUCGGCGAUGGCUGUGACUGCGACGAACCAAGGAUGGAGAUGUGUGAGGACGUGAGAGAAAUUACAUCCGGGGAGGAAUAAAGAGAGGAAGUGUGGGUUUUUUU
rnacentral:lncRNA from 1 species